rnacentral:lncRNA from 1 species
GUAAAGGGUGAGAAGUAAAAGUUUAGGGGAAAAAUAAAAAGUUUUGGGGAAUAAAAGUUUGAGGGAAAGUAAAUAGGGGGAGUAAAAUUUUGGAGGGAAAAUAUUAAAAAAAAAUUGGAGGGGGGAGGGUUUGGGAUAGAUGGGAGGUGAGAUGGGAAGAGAAUAAAAGUUUUAGGGGAAAAGUGGGAGGGAGUAAAAAUUUUGGGGGAAAAUAAAAGAUUUUAAGGGUUUUUG